rnacentral:rRNA from 1 species
CCUACGGGAGGCAGCAGUGAGGAAUAUUGGUCAAUGGGCGCAAGCCUGAACCAGCCAAGUCGCGUGAGGGAAGACGGUCCUAUGGAUUGUAAACCUCUUUUGUCGGGGAGCAAAAGACGCCACGCGUGGCGUUCCGCGAGUACCCGAAGAAAAAGCAUCGGCUAACUCCGUGCCAGCAGCCGCGGUAAUACGGAGGAUGCGAGCGUUAUCCGGGUUUAUUGGGUUUAAAGGGUGCGCAGGCGGAAGAUCAAGUCAGCGGUAAAAUUGAGAGGCUCAACCUCUUCGAGCCGUUGAAACUGGUUGUCUUGAGUGAGCGAGAGGUAUGCGGAAUGCGUGGUGUAGCGGUGAAAUGCUUAGAUAUCACGCAGAACUCCGAUUGCGAAGGCAGCAUACCGGCGCUCAACUGACGCUCAUGCACGAAAGUGUGGGUAUCGAACAGGAUUAGAUACCCUUGUAGUC